rnacentral:rRNA from 1 species
GAUGAACGCUGGCGGCGUGCCUAAUACAUGCAAGUCGAGCGAACAGACGAGGAGCUUGCUCCUCUGACGUUAGCGGCGGACGGGUGAGUAACACGUGGAUAACCUACCUAUAAGACUGGGAUAACUUCGGGAAACCGGAGCUAAUACCGGAUAAUAUAUUGAACCGCAUGGUUCAAUAGUGAAAGACGGUUUUGCUGUCACUUAUAGAUGGAUCCGCGCCGCAGUAGCUAGUUGGUAAGGUAACGGCUUACCAAGGCGACGAUGCGUAGCCGACCUGAGAGGGUGAUCGGCCACACUGGAACUGAGACACGGUCCAGACUCCUACGGGAGGCAGCAGUAGGGAAUCUUCCGCAAUGGGCGAAAGCCUGACGGAGCAACGCCGCGUGAGUGAUGAAGGUCUUCGGAUCGUAAAACUCUGUUAUUAGGGAAGAACAAAUGUGUAAGUAACUAUGCACGUCUUGACGGUACCUAAUCAGAAAGCCACGGCUAACUACGU